UUAGGUUUCUAAUGUUGAAAACAAAAGUUAUUGUUUGCACAAAAAGUUUUGGCUUGGGUUAGAAUGGGGAAAAAAAGAAGGGUUAAAUUCCUAAACAUACAAGAGAUAAGGGAAAAGAAAAUAAAACCACAUUAGGAGUUCCCCUCUUGAGAUCAUAUUGAUGAUCCAAGUAGCUCCAUUCUUUGGAAAAAGCAGUCACAAACAAAUAUCUCAA
rnacentral:lncRNA from 1 species